rnacentral:rRNA from 1 species
UACGUAGGUGGCAAGCGUUGUCCGGAUUUAUUGGGCGUAAAGCGAGAGCAGGCGGUUCCUUAAGUCUGAUGUGAAAGCCCACGGCUCAACCGUGGAGGGUCAUUGGAAACUGGGGAACUUGAGUGCAGAAGAGGAGAGUGGAAUUCCAUGUGUAGCGGUGGAAUGCGUAGAUAUAUGGAGGAACACCAGUGGCGAAGGCGACUCUCUGGUCUGUAACUGACGCUGAGUCUCGAAAGCGUGGGGAGCAAACAGG